rnacentral:rRNA from 1 species
CGGAACACGUACAGAACCUUCCUUUAAGCGGGGAAUAGCCCGGAGAAAUCCGGAUUAAUACCCCAUAGUAUUGUUUAAUGGCAUCAUUAGAUAAUUAAAGAUUUAUCACUUAGAGAUGGCUGUGCGGCUGAUUAGGUAGUUGGUGCGGGUAACGGCCCACCAAGCCAUCGAUCAGUAACUGGUGUGAGAGCACGACCAGUCACACGGGCACUGAGACACGGGCCCG